rnacentral:lncRNA from 1 species
AAUUGGGAACUAGAGGAACGCACUAUGAGUUAGCAGCCCGUUUGUCUGAACAAGCAUCUUUUUUGAGAUAGAUAUGUCCUAGUAGAGUAAAACUCAUCCAUUCUCACUGUAACAUAACUGGUUAUUUCCAUGCUCUCUGAACAAGUGAGAACGGAGUGUGGAGUGUAGCUUGGAGCAUUGAAACACUGGAAGAACUUCAGUGAUAGCCUACUCCCAAGCCAGGAGGCAAACAACCUGUGGACCAAGCUGAGAGGACCAAGUUGAGAGGUAUAGUUGCAUUGACAUUGACUAGUGCCAGUAACCGCAUUGGUCUUGUGUAGGGAGAAGGCUGGGCAAA